UGGAUUAGCAAGUGGAUUCUUAGACCCUUCUCGUACCUUCAAAGGGGCAAUGUUCUAACGCAACAAACAACGCAGGGUGUUCUUUGGGGAUGGCUGUGUGGACUUACUGUACUGCAUGGGCCGCAUAGGCAGUGAAGAUGCAUGGGCAAGCGGAGACAUCUCAUUUACAGAGUGAAAGACACCCAAGAGCCUGCUCAGUUGAUUCCAUGCGAGUGUGCCGGCUGGGGAGGCCCGGGGUUGAUGAAGAGCCCGCCUGCGACCCGAGAAACACCCAAACUAACUAUGUACUGCAUGGAGACUCUGGUCAGAAGUAGGGCACACUCUGGGGAAUAGAAACAACAGCUGAGAAGGAGCAGCAGGAAACUGCAUGAUUGAUUUUAAGAUAGAGCAUUUAUGAUAGUGUAUGAGAUAGAGCAUAUAUGAUAGUGUAUGAGACAGAGCAUAUAUGAUAAGUGUAUGAGACAGAGCAUGUGAUAGUGUAUAAGAUAGAGUGUGGCAGUUUCGCCUCUCUGUGGGAUAAUUCAAGGUAAGAAAAUGCUCCUGUGCCACUGUGAUCAAAUGUGAAGAAUGAAUGAGCGAGGUGUCAUGUUUCCAGUGUAUGAAGAUUUGUCUACUCUG